rnacentral:lncRNA from 1 species
CUAUAGGUACUCAUUAGUCAGUGUCCCCGUCUCAUAGUAAAACGUCUGCGGUCCGGGAAAACUAAGGGUGACUCUGUCGUCUUAGUUCUCCCGGGCCAAAGUAACAACCAUACCUUAUGUAGUUUUAUAUUUAGUCACCUACAAUAUUCUCCAGUAGACAGCUACAUUUAGACUAUUAGAGUUGUUAAAAUAGAUAUAGUGCUUUGUUCAAUUCAAUACAAUAAAUAAACCGAUAUCGAAAUUUACCUACCCAAAAAGUGAGUAAAAAAUUUCUCCGAUCUAUAGUAUUAUUUUAAUAAUUGAAAUAUCAACAUCUAUCUGGUGAUUUAAUUUUCAGACUAUAACUAUGCACAUAUUAUAUAGAUAUUAGAUUAUCACUCCGUCAAAAGAAGAAAAUUCCAAAAUUUCAGUUAUCAAUUUAUGGCAUAAUGUCAUUUCGCUUCCAAUAUUUAUGAACAAAUAAUAAAACAAUCUCCCUGUUGCUGAAAAUUUAUUACCAUAUGGUAA